UACGGAGGGCGCAAGCGUUAAUCGGAAUCACUGGGCGUAAAGCGUGCGUAGGCUGCUUGAUAAGUCAGACGUGAAAUCCCUCGGCUCAACCGGGGAACUGCGUUUGAUACUGUCGAGCUCGAGUCCUGGAGAGGGUGGCGGAAUUCCUGGUGUAGGAGUGAAAUCCGUAGAUAUCAGGAGGAACACCGGUGGCGAAGGCGGCCACCUGGACAGGUACUGACGCUGAGGUACGAAAGCGUGGGGAGCAAACAGG
rnacentral:rRNA from 1 species